CAGGAUUAGAUACCCUGGUAGUCCACGCCCUAAACGAUGUCUACUAGUUGUCGGGUCUUAAUUGACUUGGUAACGCAGCUAACGCGUGAAGUAGACCGCCUGGGGAGUACGGUCGCAAGAUUAAAACUCAAAGGAAUUGACGGGGACCCGCACAAGCGGUGGAUGAUGUGGAUUAAUUCGAUGCAACGCGAAAAACCUUACCUACCCUUGACAUGGCUGGAAUCCCCGAGAGAUUGGGGAGUGCUCGAAAGAGAACCAGUACACAGGUGCUGCAUGGCUGUCGUCAGCUCGUGUCGUGAGAUGUUGGGUUAAGUCCCGCAACGAGCGCAACCCUUGUCAUUAGUUGCUACGAAAGGGCACUCUAAUGAGACUGCCGGUGACAAACCGGAGGAAGGUGGGGAUGACGUCAAGUCCUCAUGGCCCUUAUGGGUAGGGCUUCACACGUCAUACAAUGGUACAUACAGAGCGCCGCCAACCCGCGAGGGGGAGCUAAUCGCAGAAAGUGUAUCGUAGUCCGGAUUGUAGUCUGCAACUCGACUGCAUGAAGUUGGAAUCGCUAGUAAUCGCGGAUCAGCAUGUCGCGGUGAAUACGUUCCCGGGUCUUGUACACACCGCCCGUCACACCAUGGGAGCGGGUUUUACCAGAAGUA
rnacentral:rRNA from 1 species